UUGAGCAGAUAUGGUUAAAAAUAAAGGCUUCUUGCCGUCAGGUCCUUCGGAGAUUCCUAUUCAGCGUAACCAAAUAAAGGAAAUUAUAUAUUCCUUACUUCCAGCUUGCAAAGAGCCUGAUGUAGAUUCUGGUAUUCCCUUUAAAGCGGAUGCAAUUAUUGCAAACCCCCCAGCAUAUGGGCAUACUCAUGUGGCGGAGGCACUGAAAAUACCUCUUCAUAUAUUUUUUACAAUGCCAUGGACGUAAGUCUUGUCUGGGCAAGUUGAGGGGGAAACACGUGUCGGUGUGUAUUAAGAAGAGAGGAAUUUAGACCUUGGUUUUGAAAGAGAGUACAAACUAAGCUUGUUUCUGGUUUGGGUAUUAAGAAGCUCGGGUACUAAGUCAAGGGUGAGGGUUUCAUGUUUCUACUUUGUGGUAUCCUCUAUCUAUUUUCUUUGUUUUGUUAAUCUCCUUAUUUGUUUUUACUUUGGAGUAUUGGGUUUUGGAUCCUAAUUAUAUGUUCUGUUAGUCAUCAACUCAGUAUGUGUUUCGAAUUGUGAAUUUGAUGGUUUUAUUGUGCUGCAAUUGUUAUGGAUCAUGAUUUGAGAAUUACCUAAAAAUUAAUUGUGUUUUCAAUCCUCUAGUCAACAAGAGAGUGGUGUUGGCAAUGUGCACAUUACAUAUGACGUGACCAUGAUUAGUGGCACGGUCAUUGAGCUGUGGUAGCUCGGGGGCUUUGGAAGCUUGAUUAUUUUCAUGUCUGAGUUUGCUGUGGCAACUGGUUGUGUUGGAGUGUAGAUUUUUCUGUGAUUAAUACCAGUGGGUUGAUCAUGACUUGAGUGAUAAAUUUUGGUGUUGUUUACUUUUCAUUUGGAGUACUGAUUGUUAGUCUUUACGUUUUCAUUUAUUUUUGUUUAGCUACUCACUGAGCUUUAGUUGUGCUCAUGCCUCCUUUAUUUUAUUUUUUUUGUUUCUUUGCAGAUACUUAGGUAGCAGGGUUGUGAAAAGAGUGCCCGAGUGUUAAGAGUUCUGUCUUUGUAAAUUUCCUUCUUUAGUUUUGAUGUUUUGGUGCUACUAGGCAUUAUCCCUUGCCGUAAGGGUUUUGAUCAUGUUUCUAUAUAGUUCAACUCUUGUAUAUAUGUAAUAUGUUUCUUUGGAGUGGUUUAGAUGGUACUAGCUUUGGUGUGCAAUUCACACCAUUUUUUUUUUUUAUAAAUGAAAUAUUCUUUUGCGACGGCAAAGUAUCCGUCGCAACAAAUUCA